AGAGAGGUGGCCGAGCGGCUGAAGGCGCACGCCUGGAAAGUGUGUAAACCGAAAGGUUUCGAGGGUUCGAAUCCCUUCCUCUCUGCCA
rnacentral:tRNA from 1 species